rnacentral:rRNA from 1 species
AACGAACGCUGGCGGCAGGCCUAAUACAUGCAAGUCGAACGCACCGCAAGGUGAGUGGCAGACGGGUGAGUAACGCGUGGGAACCUUCCUAGUAGUACGGAAUAACUCCGGGAAACCGGUGCUAAUACCGUAUAAGCCCUCCGGGGGAAAGAUUUAUCGCUACUAGAUGGGCCCGCGUCGGAUUAGCUUGUUGGUGAGGUAAUGGCUCACCAAGGCUUCGAUCCGUAGCUGGUCUGAGAGGACGANCAGCCACACUGGGACUGAGACACGGCCCAGACUCCUACGGGAGGGCAGCAGUAGGGAAUCUUGCGCAAUGGGCGAAAGCCUGACGCAGCGACGCCGCGUGAGGGAUGACGGCCUGGUU